rnacentral:pre_miRNA from 1 species
CGGGGGAGGCCGGAUCUUGGGCUGUGUCCUGGUGCCCUGUGCUCCGGGGCCUGCGCUGUUGGAUUCGCGCUCCGGCCCCGCAGCCCCCU